AAUACGUCUGCUGUCCACCUGUGCCUGUUUUACCCACCUGCUGCUGAUAACUCAGAGUCUGUUUUUGUCAUUUCCACCUGGAGUCACCUCCAAAUUCUGACCUGCUUCCGGUCUACAAAGAAUAAAUCACACAGAAAGCCGAGAUUUAUGAGAAAUGGGAGGGAAAAGCACUUUUUUUGAUCUAAUUCCGAGGAGGCAAUGUGGUUAUUUUUCUUAUACAGUUGAAGAAAAGCGGAGGAGGGGCAGGGUAGGUGGGUUGUUAGGUGAGGGAAGGGUGACGUCAGGUCCCAUCACGCUGACAGACCUCCUAUUGGUCCAGUGGAGGCUUUUAAAAGGUGCAGCCAGCAGCGCACCGGAGGCUUGAUCUCUGCGCUCAGGACGCGCCGCGGCUCUCCGUGCGCUCCAACCCGGAACGGAGCUCCGGACCGACCGGAGCCAGAUGUUGGUGAGGACGCGGCGCGGACCGGACCUUUCAUAUCAACAGUUCGCCGGCGUUCGCAUCAACAAAUGCAGAUCCCAAGUGCCUUAAUGUCCCUGGAUGUUUACACCGUGUGAUGACUGAAUGAAGAAACUGUGAUUCAUGUAAUGAAUGCGAUGAAAUAAAGUGCAAACACAUUUAGUCGUCAUAAGGUGCCGAGUGCGUUUGUUUACGUGUUUAUGUGAUUAGAAGCACUAAUCGCUUCCACUCGCUCUCAUGUUUGCUCUUAUUGUUCAUUUUCAGAUCCAGUUUUUUUCUCCGCAGGUGAAAACUGACUAGUGUGACACGUUGUGGAAGACUAGUGAUUUUGUUGUUGUAAAUUAACAUUUUUAGACAACAAGUCACAGUCUACCUCAGUGUUUCCCACCCAAACGUCCAUUUUUCCCCAUUCAGUUUAUGUCUCUUUUCUUCCUGCUAACUGCAUCUAUAUAAUUAUAAUCAGCCCCCUGCAUUUGUCACGUCUGCCUUGAAUCUCCCCGUUUUCAUAAGUAACUUGUGUUUACUGGUGGCUGAGAACAUCUUAAUAACGAUUUCUUCCAUCAGUAGGAGUCUGAAAGCGUUUCUCCGCCCACUCCUCCACAAAGAAGAUGAUCGCUUCAGAAACCGACGGAUGAAAUCGCUGCGGCUUCAAAAUGUUUGAUAAUAACCUGAAUGUUUUCCUCUCACAUCCAACCAUCAUUAGGCUGGUUUUCAUGUGGCUCUUCACCCUGGGUGCCACUGCGUUAGGGGAUAACAUGAAAAUCACAAAAAUGUCUUCUGUUGUUUAUUUACAUGUUGAGAUUAAAACUGAAUUUCACUCCUUUUUUAAAAAAACAAAUUUAAAGCUACCAGUCAGACUCACUUUUGUUAUAGUUUAUCACCUUUAACAGCAUAUCCUGGCCAGUUUGUAUUACUUUUGUUAAUUCAUUAAAAAUUAUUUUGUCAAUAUAAAAACGAUAAUUCCCAAAACAAGCUUUCACAUGCAUGUGUCGCUGAUGACAUCACAAAAGGCACACAGCAACAGAUCAGAGUUUAAAACCUGUUUUGAAUUUAGCCAUAAAUCAAUUUGAUUAAUUAAUCAUAUUUUUGGAAAACCUGAGAUUUAACUGGCGAUUAAGCACACAAACCAGUUAUCCCAGUAAAAUAAUUUUAGAUUCUCGAUGGAACCAAAAUAAGUAAAACUAAAUAAAUGUUCACAAUCUGAUUGAAAAAUAUCUAUUUUACUAAUAAUUAAUAAGCUAAUGGCAGGUUUAUCCUGCCUAGAGGAGUGUUAGCAUGUGAUAGCAUAAACUACAAAAUGUCUGAAGGCACAAACAAGUAGAGGUUUAAAACAAGUUUACAAGUAAAAAAAUGGAAAUUUAGUUUAACGCCUCAAAAAUGCUUUAAAAGGUAAAAUGUCAAAAACAUGCAAUAGAAACUAUUUAUCUGCUGUUACUGAAUGAAUUUUGAAAAAAAAAAGAAAAACGCAGCCAAAUUUGAGCUAAUAUUAUUGUUAGUGUCUGAUAUAUUAAAAAAACUAAUAUUGUUGGGAAAAUCUUUGAGAUUUUUGGGAAAAUAAAUGCUAUUUUGUAAAAUUAGUGUUGAAAUAUCGCCCCCUACUGGCAGCUAACGGGUAAGUUUGUGUUUCUGCUUGUAAAAUUGCCAAAUAUAUAUAAAUAUUCCAAAAAUAGAGAAGAAAAAAGCUUGUUGAUCAAAUCAAGUUUCCCAUCUGAUCUGAUAUUUUUAUUAUUCCGUUGGGAAUGUUGGGAACCACAAAAAUCUCCGACAUAUGAAUAAAAUCUCUGUAAAUCAACAUGACUGUCAUAAACUGUUAAACACUUUCAAUAAAGAACUUUCUUAAUCUCCUAUGACUUAUCUGUAUUUAUUUAUUCUCUUUUGUUUGAUUUAUGUUAAUUAGCUAAAGGUAUAACAUUUCCAUAAUAAUAGAAGAUGUUAUUUACGUGUAAUGGACCUUGAAUUUGUAGUUUUAGUAAAGUUUUUAGAUUACUAAAAAAAAAUUCUCCUGUUUUUGUCUAUAUGUGAAAGAUCCGAACGCAGGAAUAAAUAAGUACUCCAAUAAAAUAAAGAUAAAAGAUUAUAAUUUUGCUUUAAGAAAUUGUAUUGAUAGGAUAGUUUGGCUGAGUUUUAGGAUUCAGGUAACUUCCUGGACUAAAUAGAUAAUUAGGAAAUGCCUUGUCCUUCCG